GGGCCAGCUUAGCCUAGCGGUUCCUUCGCUUUCUCUGCAAGAAACCACUUCGAUGUUCGAUGUUCAGGUCCCGCGGGCGCUGCCUGGUCUUUUG
ensembl:vault_RNA Vault Vault RNA